rnacentral:rRNA from 1 species
AUUGAACGCUGGCGGCAGGCUUAACACAUGCAAGUCGAGCGGAGAUGAGGUGCUUGCACCUUAUCUUAGCGGCGGACGGGUGAGUAAUGCUUAGGAAUCUGCCUACUAGUGGGGGACAACAUUCCGAAAGGAAUGCUAAUACCGCAUACGCCCUACGGGGGAAAGCAGGGGAUCUUCGGACCUUGCGCUAAUAGAUGAGCCUAAGUCGGAUUAGCUAGUUGGUGGGGUAAAGGCCUACCAAGGCGACGAUCUGUAGCGGGUCUGAGAGGAUGAUCCGCCACACUGGGACUGAGACACGGUCCAGACUCCUACGGGAGGCAGCAGUGGGGAAUAUUGGACAAUGGGCGCAAGCCUGAUCCAGCCAUGCCGCGUGUGUGAAGAAGGCCUUCGGGUUGUAAAGCACUUUCAGUAGGGAGGAAGAGUUAAGUGUUAAUAGUACUCAGCUUUGACGUUACCUACAGAAGAAGCACCGGCUAACUCUGUGCCAGCCGCCGCGGUAAGAC